UACGAAGGGGGCGAGCGUUGUUCGGAAUUACUGGGCGUAAAGGGCGCGUAGGCGGCGACCCAAGUCAGAUGUGAAAGUCCUGGGCUUAACCUGGGGACUGCAUUUGAUACUGGGUUGCUUGAAUUCGGGAGAGGAUAGCGGAAUUCCCAGUGUAGAGGUGAAAUUCGUAGAUAUUAGGAAGAACACCGGUGGCGAAGGCGGCCCACUGGAUCGGUACUGACGCUGAGGUGCGAAAGCGUGGGGAGCGAACAGG
rnacentral:rRNA from 1 species